rnacentral:rRNA from 1 species
UAAAACCAGCACCUCAAGUGGUCAGGAUGAUUAUUGGGCCUAAAGCAUCCGUAGCCGGCUCUGUAAGUUUUCGGUUAAAUCUGUACGCUCAACGUACAGGCUGCCGGGAAUACUGCAUAGCUAGGGAGUGGGAGAAGUAGACGGUACUCGGUAGGAAGUGGUAAAAUGCUUUGAUCUAUCGAUGACCACCUGUGGCGAAGGCGGUCUACUAGAACACGUCCGACGGUGAGGGAUGAAAGCUGGGGGAGCAAACCGGAUUAGAUACCCGGGUAGUCCCAGCUGUAAACUAUGCAAACUCAGUGAUGCAUUGGCUUGUGGCCAAUGCAGUGCUGCAGGGAAGCCGUUAAGUUUGCCGCCUGGGAAGUACGUACGCAAGUAUG